AGUCCGGGAGGGAGAGGAAAACGUCGGACAAUGGAGACUGUCCAGCCUGCUGGGUCUCAGCGGGCCACGGAUCUGUGUUUAACAGCAAAACCAGCCGGGACGGAAAUGUUAUUUUGUUUUUUUUUUGUUUUUUAUCAGCAUUAGCCUGUGCGCGUGCACAUGAGGAUCUACUGUGCGUUUGGUUUGCGUUUUAAUUUGGGCUCAUUUAGACUGUCGGAUAAUUGGAUUGAUUUUAACUUUGUCUCUUUAAACCCUGAGGUGUUGUGGAUGCUGGUCUUGGAUGGCCGCGUGUUGCCGAUUACGAGCCAGAUGAUGCUCGAUUGAUCCGAGUGUUGGCUCUCUGAUGAGAGACGUGCUGUGCUGCACCGAGCUGACCAAAUGAUUCUCCGCUCCUUCCCAACAACUCAGGGUGCCAAGCUUCUCCUGAGGUAGGACCCUCUCUGUAGGCCUGUUCCUGCCACCCAGCAGCCAUGGACCCCCUCCCAGAGUACUCUCUGUUCCUGACCCGGAUCCUGGAGGAGCUGGACACCAAGCACAACACUAUGUCCUACCAGGACCUGUGCAAGUCCCUGUGCGGCCGCUUCGACCUGGUGCACCUUGCCAGGCUGCGCAGCCUGCUCUUCUACACAGCCUGCCUGGACCCCGCCUUUCCGGCUACCCUCUUCAAGGACAAGAUGCGCUGCUCCAUGGAGGACCCACAGUCCAAGAAGCUCAUGGUGGCAGCAGACAUUGUCACCAUGUUCAACUUGAUCCAGAUGAAUGGAGGAAUAGCCAAAGACAAACUCCCCAUAGUACACAGAGCUAAAAUCCACAAGAACCAGUCGGUGGAGCAGUGCAGGUCUGACAGUGAUGCCUAUACGUUUCAGGACUGUGACAAAGGGGUUGGCUAUGAGCACAUAAAUCCCCCUGGGGGUGGAAACUAUCACUACCAUCACCUCAACCACCCGCAGCAGCACCCUGUGGCUCAGAAUGCCCCUCUCUGUCCUAAAUCACCUGAGUGCAACAACUGCCAGCAGUUUAUUCCCACCUCGGACCCUAAUUUCCUUCUGGGGCUUAGCAAGGACUUGAAAUGUAGAGCAGCUUCCCUGGACAAAUUGCAUCAUCUGCCACAGUACUCCAGCAGCAGUCCGCCCUCUCCACCCUGCGAAAUGGAGAGCACCUACUUUCCCAUAGAUAGCGAGUCCACCACCGACCAGGAGUCCCUGCAGCACAUCAGCCAUCCUGAGCCCUUUUCUGUUCACCCCUGCAUCCAGAAGAGGAACAUCUUUAAAGAGGAAUUCCACAACAUCGCAGCCUUCUCACCACAGGUCAUCACCACUGAGAGCAAACAGGGCAGUAAGGCUGCUGGCGGCUACCACCGGAAGGACCACAAACCUGCCACCUUCUUCAACCACAGCUUUGAAAUACCUUACAGUAACCCCUACUUUGAACCAACACUCAACUUCCCUCUUCAGGACAAACGGAGGGUGAAGCACGAGAGCCUGGACGACUUACAAGCAUCCACAUACUUCGGCCCGACCACGGUCUCUGAGUGCGUCAGCAGCAGGAAGCACAGUGCCAAAGCCGGGAAGCAGCCGCCGUGGCCAGUGAAGAGUCUCAGUCUCAACACAGAAGAGGGGCCUCCAGACUUGGAUAGGUCAUUUCUGAAGAGCAAACCACUCAAAGAUAACCACCAUCGAAAUAUCAGCAUCAUCAGCACUGACAAUGAACAGUAUUUUCAGAACCCGAAGGAAAAGGCAGUAACUUCUACAUUUGGCUUUGCAAAGAAAACUAACGGAAUAAAAACCAAAGAUGUAGCAGUAAUGGCAAGUGGGCUGGCGGGUUUGGACAAAAGAGAAGUAGCCAAAAGGUUUAGAGAGAAAAAGAUGAACAGUCCCUCCUUUCAGGGAGGAGACAGCUCCUCUAGUGUUGGAACUCAAACAGAACAGGCUGACCAGAAGAAAGUGGAGGAAUAUCCAGCUAAGUACAGUGACAGAGAAAGGCAUGCCUUUAAGCAUUCUGAUGAGGACUCUGAGCUCAUUAGUGAUGACAUAAGUGACAUUUUUCGUUUUCUGGAUGAUAUGAGUGUUUGUGACUCUCUGGGCAUUGUCCAACCGUCCUGCUACAACAGUAAUGGGUCUCUUUCUCAGGUAACGCUGAAGUCUGAAGGUGACAGCUCUCCUGAAGGCAACACAGUCAAACUAGCCAAGUCCAAGCUGGACCGCCUCUUCCAUUCGCUGGAAAACACAGACGAUGAGCUCAAAUCGAGUGUGUGCAAGCUGGUGAUGAGGAUUGGUGAGAUUGAGAAGAAGCUGGAGUCCCUGUCGGGGGUUCGCAGUGAGAUUUCCCAGGUGCUCUCCAAACUCAACAAGCUGGAUGAGAAGAUCCAGGAGCCUGAGGCCAAUGGGAUUGCAUCUGCAUGCGGGUCCAUUGCCACCCCAGACAAGCCAAAACCCCACCCUCAUCCGCCCGACACCACCCUUUCACCUUGUGUUUUCCAGUGCCACACCACUGGCCACAAUAUCAAAAUGGACAAUGGCUCCUCGGGGGAGUGGUGCUGCUCAGAUGGGAGUAACAGCGAUAGCCUCAGAGUCAAAGCUCUGAAGAAGAGCAUGUUCACUAGGAAGUCAUCCUGCUCGCUCAACGAGGACACUGGUGCCACUGAGUCUAAGGUGACUAGCAUCACCAAUUCUCCGCGGGACUGGAGGACAGUGUCCUACACCUGCCACCCUGGAGACGAAAGCAAGGACAGACACCAGAAAGCUAAAGAGGCAGAGCGAGAGCUUCAGUACGAGCUCCCGCUUGCCCACCGCCCUCCUAAACCGCCGAAGGACUCCUACUUGAUCGAACAGGUCUUCUCACCACACACCUUCACACCCUCCAUUAAGGCCCAUGUGAAAGGCAGCCCCCUAUACACCGACCUGAGGCUCACCGGUCCGUCAGAUGGCAAGCAUGGUCGGCCAUCCUGGACCAUCCAGGAAUAUAAACGCAACUCAGGAGAGAAGGGAAAGCAGCUCACAGCUCUGGACUUGCAGACCCAGGAGUCCCAAAACCCCAACAACCUGGAUUACUGGAUGGAGGACAUCUACACACCAGGUUUUGACUCAUUGCUCAAGAAGAAAGAAGCAGAGUUCAGGAGGGCUAAGGUGUGUAAGAUCGUGGCCUUGAUCGCAGCCGCUACCUGCACUGUGAUCCUGGUCAUCGUGGUUCCUAUUUGCACCAUGAAAACAUGAGCGAACCAGGAUGGAGUGGCCCUGCCUAAUGAAUGGUACACUUAUACUGCAUUCUUUUCUGUUUGUGAACUAGAUGACGAAUGAGUUACAUUGGAGUAAGUAAGCCCAGGGCAUUUCAUACGGAUGCUGAAGAGUACAUUGUGUGUCAAAUACUGAUGCUUUUUCAGGUUUUCUCACACCAUCGUUAUUUGACACCCUGGGAUGGAAAACCACCAGAAAACUUGAACAGUGGAUCAGUGAGCACAAAAGCACAAUACGCAGAAACUAUCUGGAUUGUCCUGCAGAUAUGCCUUUAAAUGAUGCUCACAUCACUUCUGCGGUACAAAACAGGUUACCAACCUAGGGCUGGUGACCAUGACAAACUACUCAAACAGCAUGAGGCUUACUGGAGUCAUUCUCUUCAAACAUGGGCUCCUAAGGGACUGAACAAUGAAAGACUUCUUAGCAUUUUCCUUCAAUCCCUUAUACUGAAGAUUUUUUGUAUAUUUUAUUGAUUUAUUGAUUUCUGUAUGUCUUUUUUGUAUUAAAGAUUAAUCGGAGGGAUUCUUUGUCCCACUCCAGAAAGUCCUGGAUACAUAUGAAUAUGUGCAUAUAUUAUCAAGUUCAUUUACCAAUGUGACCUGUUGAUUGUGUCCAUUUAUAUAUGUAUGCAUUGAUGCAUGAAUUUUUUGAGGCCUUAAUGACUGUUAUAUUUAUCUGUCGCAUGUAGUAUUGUGGAGGGUUACAGUACAUUUAUUAUGGGUGUUGACUUUUUCUAUAUGCUAUGUUAAGUUCAUCCACAAAUGUAACCUGCUGAAUAUGCUUUUUUAUGCAAUUACCUUUUGGAGCGUGUAGAAUCUACCUACUUAAUUUAAUGUAUGUAGUCUUGAUAGGGUUGAGAUAAAUUAGAUCAUUGUUACUUAACAUAUGUAUAGAUUGAUGUAGCAUUUGCUUAUUUACAUAUUUGUGAGGCCUUGCUGUAUUUAUCAAGAAGGGUUCUAUUUAUUUAUUGAUGCUGACUUUCACUUGCCAUGUAAAUGUAUCCCUACAGGUUCACCUGCAAUAUUUGGGAAUGUAUCUUAUCGUUUAGCCUUUGGGUGGCCUUUAACCAUUGAUUUUAUAGUACUCUACCCAUUUAAUGGAAGCCUUUUGGGGUAAAUUUAUGAUUGUUACUAUACAAAUGUUUGACUUUUCUAGCUCCAUACCUAUGACACUGGAGACUAUCAUAUAUUAAAUUGAUGUUUGGUAUUUAUGCCUUCCUGUUGCACGUGGGGAAAGUGAGUGGCUGCAGACUUACAGCCACUCCCUAUUUAAGAUGGCUGUCAAAAACCAUUUGCCUGAUCAAGGUCAUCACUAUC